GACGAACGCUGGCGGCGUGCUUAACACAUGCAAGUCGAACGGUAAGGCCCUUCGGGGUACACGAGUGGCGAACGGGUGAGUAACACGUGGGUGAUCUGCCCUGCACUUCGGGAUAAGCCUGGGAAACUGGGUCUAAUACCGGUUAGGACCACUGCCUGCAUGGGUGGUGGUGGAAAGCUUUUGCGGUGUGGGAUGGGCCCGCGGCCUAUCAGCUUGUUGGUGGGGUGAUGGCCUACCAAGGCGACGACGGGUAGCCGGCCUGAGAGGGUGACCGGCCACACUGGGACUGAGAUACGGCCCAGACUCCUACGGGAGGCAGCAGUGGGGAAUAUUGCACAAUGGGCGCAAGCCUGAUGCUGCGACGCCGCGUGAGGGAUGACGGCCUUCAGGUUGUAAACCUCUUUCAGCACCGACGAAGCGCAAGUGACGGUGGGUGCAGAAGAAGGACCGGCCAACUACGUGCCAGCCGCCGCAGUAAUAC
rnacentral:rRNA from 1 species